AGAAUGUAACAUUUUCUGGCAGAUAUUGUUCCUGAAAUCAUCAGGCUUCAAAUCAUUAACACUCUUGAACAGCUCGUUGAUGCAACCAAGCUCUACUAGUUGUUCAGGGCUGUUGCGAAGCCCAAACAUAUCCUUAAAACACUGGCACAACUUGUCGAUGCAACCAGUUCGUGCUUGUUGUUCAGAGUAGUUCGAAAGCCUUACUUGUUGUCCAGAGCCGUUCUCGCGCCCUUCAUGUUGUUCAGAGGUGUUGUCUUGCGUUUGUUGUUGUUCAGAGCUGUUAUCACGUUCUUCUUGUUGUAAGGAGGUGUUGUCACGCCCUUCUUGUUGUUCAUAGCCGUUGUCAUGCCCUUCUCGUUGUUCAGAGGUGUUCUCACGUUCUUCUUGUUGUUGAGGGGUGUUCAAAAGACGGAUGAUAGUUCCCAAUGGAAGGGUAAGGAAACUGAAGAGAACAUCUACCAAGUCCCCGUCUGCUUCUGCUACAAUCACACUAGUCUUCUCAUGGUUCAUCCAAUAUUUCAAACUCAAACCGUUUCCUACUUCUUCGUUUGAAGCCAUAACUGAAACAUAAAACUAAAUAAUAUUAACCAAUUAAAAAAAAAAACAAAUGUACAGUUUUAGUGGAGUUUCUGAUUCAAAUCAAUUGUUGGUCCAUUGUUGCACUUAGGUCAUAUUUCUAGGAAUCGCUUCUGCCAAGCAUGCUGAGCACGUUGUCUAUGGCUUUGGCAUUAAAUUCUCACUGAAUGCAAUUGAAUUUUCUGAAGCAUUGGACACUCUUCCUUUUAGUUACAGAGAUACCAUUUUUC
rnacentral:sRNA from 1 species